GUGAAGACCACAGUUUCCUGUCGCGUGGAUGUGUUUCCUCUCUGGCCAUUGCCAUCCGCCCAAAUCUACAGACAUCCCGCAUGUUCCCGGGCUCGUCUCCCCAAUACAGGGCACCAAGCAUCCUACCAAGGCGAAUCCAUUGACCAGGAUUUAAGUUGAGACUCCCCCAGGACCCCGGGUGCAGCAUCUGGGUCCCCCUGCCCCGCCCUGCCUUGCGCCGCAGCCGCUUCCGUUGUCCUGCCAGGCUGUAGACUGCGCAGCCCUCCUGGAGACAGAUGGAAGCUCCUUGGGUCGACAGAUUACAGCUUCUGGAACCCCCUACUCCCUUCAACUCCGAGAUGGACACCCACUGUCCAGGGAGAGGAUGCCUGGAAAUAACAGCUGGGAUCUACAGUGGCCAAAGAGUUGUCUCCGUCUUGCUACAUCGACAAACUGCCACUUCGGAAGCGUUUUCCUCUCCACUCUGACAACAGGCAAGAGUGAGGGUCCAACAAUACAGAGGAAGUAACGUGUCGCUGCUACUCUUCCAUGCCCAGUGCCAGGAGCGACGGUACACUCCAGAGUGCUGUGCCCUGAUGGGCCUUUGAGUGGCCAGUGCAGUGGAUCAUCAGCCCUGUCUCCCAAGAGCUCCAGUCCCUUCUCCGGAGAGGAAGUGGGUCCACUGGCAGCUCAGGAGGCCAUAGCAGGAUUGUCACGUGUGCUCAACAGUCCUCCUCGGCUUUCCAGAAGAGGCUGGAACAGGGCCCUUGAAGAUGUUUGUGGACAUCAGAGGGCCAAAGACGACACAAAGUGAAACUGGAGACACCGCCCCCCCUUGGCAUCAUGAAACUGCCGAUGUUACUGGCUCAUGCAUGGGAGACACCAGCAUACAAAGUCUUGACACCAACACCUCAGAGGGCUGUGUUCUGUCCCCGUGACCAUCAUCUAGUGCCUGGAAAGACUAGUGACAAGAACUUGUUGCCAACUUCCUAUUACCUCCCUAACAGUUGUGCAAUAAACCCCAUAGGUUAAUUCA
rnacentral:lncRNA from 1 species